UUCUUUCGCGAGAUUCCGAUUGCCUGUCUAUUUAGCCCAAAACUCGGUGUACCACGUGCUUUGAUAUCUGGGGGUUCCGUGACUGGGGCAACUGGGGUUUCUUGUGGAAAGACCUUCGGCAUUUUCCUAUUGAAACCAGACGUGGCUGUCGAGAUUCAGUCGAUUCGUUCUUUUUGCGGCGAUUAAGCGUCUGUUCGUCAUGACUGCUGGAUUGACGGUCAUCCUCCCGAGGCAAAGCAGCCCGCGGUGGACGUGCCGAGGUUCUGCGGGAAAGAGCAAGGAUGACCGGGAGACCAACACUUUCUGCAGGAGCCGCAAGGCAGGCCAUGGUUUCAUCGAACAGCCGGGAGUGGAGCGGGAUGCUGAAGGAUAGCGGCGCUCACUUCAGUGAGCCCAGCUUGAACCCCACCAUUGGCGUCCUGGGCACCACUCUGAAUAAGCUGCUUCAGUUGUGACUUGUAGCACAAAGUUUCUGUCACCCAGUUCAUCGUCAUUUCUGAACCAAAGGCAUUGGUCCUGCCUGCUAGUCACCACUUGAAUAAAAGUUGGAAUGGUGCAGUGUGUUUGUGUAAAUAAACUGUUGAAGCUUUGA